rnacentral:rRNA from 1 species
GAUGAACGCUGGCGGCGUGCCUAAUACAUGCAAGUCGAGCGAACGGACGAGAAGCUUGCUUCUCUGAUGUUAGCGGCGGACGGGUGAGUAACACGUGGAUAACCUACCUAUAAGACUGGGAUAACUUCGGGAAACCGGAGCUAAUACCGGAUGAUAUUUUGAACCGCAUGGUUCAAGAGUGAAAGACGGUCUUGCUGUCACUUAUAGAUGGAUCCGCGCUGCAUUAGCUAGUUGGUAAGGUAACGGCUUACCAAGGCAACGAUGCAUAGCCGACCUGAGAGGGUGAUCGGCCACACUGGAACUGAGACACGGUCCAGACUCCUACGGGAGGCAGCAGUAGGGAAUCUUCCGCAAUGGGCGAAAGCCUGACGGAGCAACGCCGCGUGAGUGAUGAAGGUCUUCGGAUCGUAAAACUCUGUUAUUAGGGAAGAACAUAUGUGUAAGUAACUGUGCACAUCUUGACGGUACCUAAUCAGAAAGCCACGGCCAACUACGUG